UCGUGUCGUGAGAUGUUGGGUUAAGUCCCGCAACGAGCGCAACCCUCACCCCUUGUUGCCAUCAGGUCAUGCUGGGCACUCUAGGGGAACUGCCCCGGUCAACGGGGAGGAAGGCGGGGAUGACGUCAAGUCAUCAUGCCCCUUACGCCCUGGGCUACACACGUGCUACAAUGGCCGGUACAAAGGGAUGCGAGACCGCGAGGUGGAGCCAAACCCAAAAAGCCGGUCUAAGUUCAGAUCGGAGUCUGCAACUCGACUCCGUGAAGGAGGAAUCGCUAGUAAUCGC
rnacentral:rRNA from 1 species